GAUGAACGCUGGCGGCGUGCCUAAUACAUGCAAGUCGAGCGAACAGACGAGGAGCUUGCUCCCCUGACGUUAGCGGCGGACGGGUGAGUAACACGUGGAUAACCUACCUAUCAGACUGGGAUAACUUCGGGAAACCGGAGCUAAUACCGUAUAAUCUCUUGAACCGCAUGGUUCAAUAGUGAAAGACGGCUUUGCUGUCACUUAUCGAUGGAUCCGGGCCGCAUUAGCUAGUUGGUAAGGUAACGGCUUACCAAGGCAACGAUGCGUAGCCGACCUGAGAGGGGGAUAGGCCACAUGAGAGGGGGAACAGGGACCAGAAGACUGAGGGAGGCAGCAGAAGGGAAUGGGAGGCAAUGGUGGAGAGCAUUACGGAACAGCGGCGAGUGAGAGAUGACAGUCUUCGGAGCGUAAAAAUCGGUUAUGAGGGAAGAACAAAUGUGGAAGUAAACAUGGACGGAUUGACGGUAACUAAUCAGAAAGCAACGGCUAACUACGU
rnacentral:rRNA from 1 species